rnacentral:rRNA from 1 species
UACGAAGGGGGCUAGCGUUGUUCGGAAUCACUGGGCGUAAAGGGCGCGUAGGCGGCUUUAUAAGUCGGGGGUGAAAGCCUGUGGCUCAACCACAGAAUUGCCUUCGAUACUGUAGAGCUUGAGACCGGAAGAGGUAAGUGGAACUGCGAGUGCAGAGGUGAAAUUCGUAGAUAUUCGCAAGAACACCAGUGGCGAAGGCGGCUCACUGGCCCGAUACUGACGCUGAGGCACGAAAGCGUGGGGAGCAAACAGG